GACGAACGCUGGCGGCGUGCUUAACACAUGCAAGUCGAACGGAAAGGCCUUUUCGGAGGUACUCGAGUGGCGAACGGGUGAGUAACACGUGGGUGAUCUGCCCUGCACUCUGGGAUAAGCCUGGGAAACUGGGUCUAAUACCGGAUAGGACCGCACUUUAGUGUGUGUGGUGGAAAGUUUUUUCGGUGUAGGAUGAGCCCGCGGCCUAUCAGCUUGUUGGUGGGGUAAUGGCCUACCGAGGCGGCGACGGGUAGCCGGACUGAGAGGUUGGUCGGCCACAUUGAGACUGAGAUACGGCCCAGACUCCUACGGGAGGCAGCAGUGGGGAAUAUUGCACAAUGGGCGCAAGCCUGAUGCAGCGACGCCGCGGGGGGGAUGACGGCCUUCGGGUUGUAAACUCCUUUCGCCAGGGACGAAGCGUUUUGUGACGGUACCUGGAGAAGAAGCACCGGCUAACUACGUG
rnacentral:rRNA from 1 species